rnacentral:rRNA from 1 species
GCGAACGCUGGCGGCAGGCUUAACACAUGCAAGUCGAGCGCCCGUAGCGAUACGGGAGCGGCAGACGGGUGAGUAACACGUGGGAACGUGCCUUUUGGUUCGGAACAACUGAGGGAAACUUCAGCUAAUACCGGAUAAGCCCUUACGGGGAAAGAUUUAUCGCCAAAAGAUCGGCCCGCGUCUGAUUAGCUAGUUGGUGGGGUAAUGGCCCACCAAGGCUACGAUCAGUAGCUGGUCNGAGAGGAUGAUCAGCCACACUGGGACUGAGACACGGCCCAGACUCCUACGGGAGGCAGCAGUGGGGAAUCUUGGACAAUGGGCGCAAGCCUGAUCCAGCCAUGCCGCGUGAGUGAUGAAGGCCUUAGGGUUGUAAAGCCCUUUCAGCGGGGGAAGAUAAUGACGGUACCCGCAGAAGAAGCCCC